CUAGUUUUGGUCUAAACGUGGGAAAAUUGUUUGGAUGGUACGUCGUCAAUUUAAAUAUUGGAAGAAUAUAAAUGAUUCCGGAAAAAUGUACCUGCGAAAUCGAAGAGCGAUUAUUGCUUCGCCCGCUGUAACCGAUCCGACUAUCGACAUGGGCAGAAUGCCGAUUUCAUUUUCCUGCUGAAAACCCACAUUACCACCAACUUCUAUCAGCAAAAGGACACAUUGAGCAAAAAUCAUCUAAAAAACCCUGGGAGUACGAAAAAAUAAUGUUUACAUCCACUGUCGUUUUACUAUUAUAUAAGCUGUAUA